AAAAGCUUGGUCCUAGCUUUACUAUCAUCUUUAACCAAAUUUACACAUGCAAGUCUCCGCACCCCUGUGAGGAUGCCCUCAAAUUUCCCGCCCGAAAACGAGGAGCCGGUAUCAGGCACACGCCAUUCAUGCAGCCCAAGACGCCUUGCUUAGCCACACCCCUAAGGGAUAUCAGCAGUGACAGACAUUAAGCAAUGAGUGAAAACUCGACUUAGUUACGGUUAAUUAGGGCCGGUCAAUCUCGUGCCAGCCGCCGCGGUUAUACGGGCAGGCCCAAGUUGAUAGAUUUCGGCGUAAAGAGUGGUUACGGAUCAAACCCACUAAAGUUAAACACCCCCCUCACUGUAAUACGCGCCCGGGGGCAGGAGACCCCACUACGAAGGUGACUUUAACACUACUCCCGAACCCACGACAGCCAGGAAACAAACUGGGAUUAGAUACCCCACUAUGCCUGGCCAUAAACUUUGAUUUUGUUUUAUACACACAAUUUCCGCCCGGGAACUACAGGCGCUAGCCUGAAACCCAAAGGACUUGGCGGUGCCUCAGACCCACCUAGAGGAGCCUGUUCUAGAACCGAUACUCCCCGUUCAACCUCACCAUCCCUGGCUAAUGUCCGCCUGUAUACCGCCGUCGUCAGCUUACCCCCUGAAGGUCCCAUAGUAAGCAAAGCAGGCAUCGCCCAAAACGGCAGGUCAAGGUGCAGCGCAUGAGAUGGAAAGAAAUGGGCUACAUUCUCUGAACCAGAGAACACGGAAGGUGCAAUGAAACACGCACCUGAAGGCGGAUUUAGCAGUAAGAAGGAAAAACGAGCGUCCUUCUGAAGCCGGCUCUGAGACGCGCACACACCGCCCGUCACUCUCCCCGAACCCCGCACCUCAAAUUAAUAAGCAAAAGAAAACACGCAGGGGAGGCAAGUCGUAACAUGGUAAGUGUACCGGAAGGUGCACUUGGA
rnacentral:ncRNA from 1 species